GAUGAACGCUGGCGGCGUGCCUAAUACAUGCAAGUCGAGCGAACGGACGAGAAGCUUGCUUCUCUGAUGUUAGCGGCGGACGGGUGAGUAACACGAGGAUAACCUACCUAUAAGACUGGGAUAACUUCGGGAAACCGUAGCUAAUACCGGAUAAUAUUUUGAACCGCAUGGUUCAAAAGUGAAAGACGGUCUUGCUGUCACUUAUAGAUGGAUCCGCGCUGCAUUAGCUAGUUGGUAAGGUAACGGCUUACCAAGGCAACGAUGCAUAGCCGACCUGAGAGGGUGAUCGGCCACACUGGAACUGAGACACGGUCCAGACUCCUACGGGAGGCAGCAGUAGGGAAUCUUCCGCAAUGGGCGAAAGCCUGACGGAGCAACGCCGCGUGAGUGAUGAAGGUCUUCGGAUCGUAAAACUCUAUUAUUAGGGAAGAACAUAUGUGUAAGUAACUGUGCACAUCUUGACGGUACCUAAUCAGAAAGCCACGGCUAACUACGUG
rnacentral:rRNA from 1 species